AUUGAACGCUGGCGGCAUGCCUUACACAUGCAAGUCGAACGGCAGCACGGGUGCUUGCACCUGGUGGCGAGUGGCGAACGGGUGAGUAAUACAUCGGAACAUGUCCUGUAGUGGGGGAUAGCCCGGCGAAAGCCGGAUUAAUACCGCAUACGAUCUACGGAUGAAAGCGGGGGACCUUCGGGCCUCGCGCUAUAGGGUUGGCCGAUGGCUGAUUAGCUAGUUGGUGGGGUAAAGGCCUACCAAGGCGACGAUCAGUAGCUGGUCUGAGAGGACGACCAGCCACACUGGGACUGAGACACGGCCCAGACUCCUACGGGAGGCAGCAGUGGGGAAUUUUGGACAAUGGGCGAAAGCCUGAUCCAGCAAUGCCGCGUGUGUGAAGAAGGCCUUCGGGUUGUAAAGCACUUUUGUUCGGAAAGAAAUCCUUGGCUCUAAUACAGUCGGGGGAUGACGGUACCGGAAGAAUAAGCACCGGCUAACUACGUG
rnacentral:rRNA from 1 species